GUACCUUCGAUAACGAAUAAACAUCUCUUAAAAGUAUGUGUAAAACGCUGCAUGAUACAAACGAAGGUAAAAAUUUGACUCCCUUUAGUAGUGGAUGAACUGCUCCCUGU
rnacentral:sRNA from 1 species